rnacentral:rRNA from 1 species
AGCAGCCGCGGUAAUUCCAGCUCCAAUAGCGUAUAUUAAAGUUGUUGCAGUUAAAAAGCUCGUAGUUGAAUUUCGGGAUCAAUCUGCCGGUCGUGCCUCCGGUAUGCACUGGUUUUAUUGGUUUCUCCCUUCUGACGAAUCAUGAUGUCAUUAAUUUGGUGUCAUGGGGAAUCAGGACUGUUACUUUGAAAAAAUUAGAGUGUUUAAAGCAGGCUCACGCUUGAAUACAUUAGCAUGGAAUAAUGAAAUAGGACGUUUGACCCUAUUUUGUUGGUUUCUAGGAUCGACGUAAUGAUUAAUAGGGAUAGUUGGGGGCAUUAGUAUUCAAUUGUCAGAGGUGAAAUUCUUGGAUUUAUUGAAGACUAACUACUGCGAAAGCAUUUGCCAAGGAUGUUUUCAUUAAUCAAGAACGAAAGUUAGGGGAUCGAAGACGAUCAGAUACCGUCGUAGUCUUAACCAUAAACUAUGCCGACUAGGGGAUCAGAUGAUGUUAUUUUUUAAUGACUCAUUCGGCACCUUA